UAUUUAGGGCAUACUCGAUAUCAUAAAGGCACCAGAUCCCAUCCGAUCUUAGAAGCUAAGCAGGGUCGGCCUUGGUUGGUACUUGGAUGGGAGACCGGCAACAAAUGCUAGGCAAUAU
rfam:Anolis carolinensis unplaced genomic scaffold chrTn1153, whole genome shotgun sequence.